UGCAAGAUGAUCCUAAUUGCCUA
rnacentral:siRNA from 1 species